rnacentral:rRNA from 1 species
AUUGAACGCUGGCGGCAUGCUUUACACAUGCAAGUCGAACGGUAACAGGCCUUCGGGUGCUGACGAGUGGCGAACGGGUGAGUAAUGCAUCGGAACGUGCCCAAUCGUGGGGGAUAACGUAGCGAAAGUUACGCUAAUACCGCAUAUUCUGUGAGCAGGAAAGCAGGGGAUCGCAAGACCUUGCGCUGAUUGAGCGGCCGAUAUCAGAUUAGCUAGUUGGUGAGGUAAAGGCUCACCAAGGCGACGAUCUGUAGCGGGUCUGAGAGGAUGAUCCGCCACACUGGAACUGAGACACGGUCCAGACUCCUACGGGAGGCAGCAGUGGGGAAUUUUGGACAAUGGGCGCAAGCCUGAUCCAGCCAUGCCGCGUGAGUGAAGAAGGCCU